rnacentral:lncRNA from 1 species
GAGUGUUUAUGGUUGGGUUGAGACACAUUCAGUAGCUGAGUGAUUGACAGCAAGAGGAGCAAGACAUGAGGUUAAUAAUUAUCAAAUAUAUGGCAAUGCUGGACUUUAGCUGAUCAUCGUGCUUCUGGAAAACAACAAAAAUUGAGAUAUCUGUUCACCACUUUGUGUGUCCAAGGACCACCUACUUUUUACAUGUGACAAGAACUACCCACCUCCACUCUUCAGGAUAGAACAUGCUGAAGAAAAGAGUUGCAAUGAGAAAAUAUAUGGGAACAAAAUACCUAUGCAAUGCAGAAGUCUGCAUAACUGAACCACUCAGAGGAAAAAGUUUCCCUCCCAGGCUGGAGUACAAUGGCGCGACCUCGGCUCACUGCAACUUCCACCUCCCAGUUCAAGCAAUUCUCCCACCUCAGCUUCCUUAGUAGCUGGGAUUACAAGUGCCUGACACCAGGCCAAGCUAUUUUUGUAUUUUUAGUAGAGACGGGGUUUCACCAUUUUGACCAGGCUGGUCUCAAACUCCUGACCUCAGUCCAUCGGUCCACCUCGGCCUCCCAAAGUGCUGGGAUUGCAGGCAUGAGCCACCGCUCCUGGCCUCAAGUUUAAUUCUUAAAUUGCCAUUUCAGGACACCUCCUACAUCUGAGGAAAUAUGCAUUGAUCUUGCAGUACUUUUCUCCUCCAAAUAAAAGUCAGUAUGAUAACAACUACACUAUCAGAAGUCUAAGCCAAAGGACACUUCAGUUAUCCAAUCUUGCAACAAAUACAUUUAAGCACUUAAUAUGGGCUACUGUUGGUACUAGGGGCAUUGAGAACUUCAGAUUUGAUUAACACCCAAGAGCUGCUACCAUAAAAUAAACUAGGCAGCUACUAGGC